rnacentral:rRNA from 1 species
AACGGAUCUCUUGGCUCUCGCAUCGAUGAAGAACGCAGCGAAAUGCGAUAAGUAAUGUGAAUUGCAGAAUUCAGUGAAUCAUCGAAUCUUUGAACGCACCUUGCGCUCCUUGGUAUUCCGAGGAGCAUGCCUGUUUGAGUGUCAUUAAAUUCUCAACC